GAUGAAGAACGUAGCGAAAUGCGAUACUUGGUGUGAAUUGCAGAAUCCCGAGAACCAUCGAGUCUUUGAACGCAAGUUGCGCCCGAAGCCAUUAGGCCGAGGGCACGCCUGCCUGGGCGUCACACGUCGUUGCCCCCCCAUCUACUCCUUCGGGAUUGCGGGGGGCGGAUGAUGGCCUCCCGUGCGCCUCGUCGCGCGGUUGGCAUAAAUGCCAAGUCCUCGGCGACGCACGCCACGACAAUCGGUGGUUGCGAAACCUCGGUUGCCCGUCGUGUGCGGUCGUCGCGCAUCGAGGGCUCGAAAAAAUUGUCGGGCUCCGGCUCGGCUUUCAACGCGACCCCAGGUCAGGCGGGGUUACCCGCUGAAUUUAAGCAUAUCAAAAGCGGAGGA
rnacentral:misc_RNA from 1 species